rnacentral:rRNA from 1 species
CACGCUGUUAUCCCUAAAGUAACUUAUUCUUAUAAUCCAUAGUAAAGGAUCAACUUACCUAAAUAUUUUUAUUUUAACCAACAAACAGUUACAACUUAUAUUUUCAUCGCCCCAAUGUAACAAAGUGAAGAUAAUUUUCAUUUAUACUUAAAUUUAAAAAUUAACUAACUCAUGUAAAGUUUUAUAGGGUCUUAUCGUCCCCCCAGAAAAUUUAAGCCUUUUCACUUAAAAGUUAAAUUCAAUCCUUAUAAAAAAGACAGACUGCUUCUUGUACGACCCUUCAUUCCAGCCUCCAAUUAAGAG